rfam:Sphingomonas sp. Root710 contig_2, whole genome shotgun sequence.
UUGACAUCCCCGGGGAGCCUCAGGCUGAGAGGUGGUGCUGAAAUGCCCACGACCCGCUGAACCUGAUCCGGCUCGCACCGGCGUAGGAAGGGAAUCGCCGCAUGCG